rnacentral:rRNA from 1 species
AUGUGCAUGAAGCUCCAAUGCACCCAGAUAAGUUUAGAUGUAUAUAUAACAUUGCAUGUAUUUCCUACAGUUGGUAUAGUUUUCUUGGUUUCUUUGAUUGGUCCGGUACAGUUUCCAUCAUUGGAUGAAUAUACCCGUUUGGAGUUGGUACAGUUUCGAACAAGAUCCACUCUUGUUCUCCUUUUUUUGUCUAUAUUCUCAGCUGUAGCAGAGAUUCCAAAUAAAAAACAUGGCCUUUAUAUAUUCAUGCAUAUUCAGACUCACUCAUCUCACUCCUUCCAUUCAUUCGUUAGGAGGGGACAUGCUUGUCUGUUUGAAUCUACAGUGCAGCAGAAAGUCGCAGCUCCUCUUUGA